UGGGGAAUAUUGCACAAUGGGCGCAAGCCUGAUGCAGCCAUGCCGCGUGUGUGAAGAAGGCCUUCGGGUUGUAAAGCACUUUCAGCGAGGAGGAAGGUGGUGAGCUUAAUACGCUCAUCAAUUGACGUUACUCGCAGAAGAAGCACCGGCUAACUCCGUGCCAGCAGCCGCGGUAAUACGGAGGGUGCAAGCGUUAAUCGGAAUUACUGGGCGUAAAGCGCACGCAGGCGGUUUGUUAAGUCAGAUGUGAAAUCCCCGGGCUCAACCUGGGAACUGCAUUUGAAACUGGCAAGCUAGAGUCUCGUAGAGGGGGGUAGAAUUCCAGGUGUAGCGGUGAAAUGCGUAGAGAUCUGGAGGAAUACCGGUGGCGAAGGCGGCCCCCUGGACGAAGACUGACGCUCAGGUGCGAAAAGCGUGGGGCAGCAAACAGGAUUAGAUACCCUGGUAGUCCACGCUGUAAAACGAUGUCGAUUUGGAGGUUGUGCCCUUGAGGCGUGGCUUCCGGAGCUAACGCGUUAAAUCGACCGCCUGGGGAGUACGGCCGCAAGGUUAAAACUCAAAUGAAUUGACGGGUCUAGCUG
rnacentral:rRNA from 1 species